AUACGGAGGAUGCGAGCGUUAUCCGGAUUUAUUAGGUUUAAAGGGUGUGUAGGCGGUAUUUUAAGUCAGUGGUGAAAUCUCGGAGCUUAACUUCGAAACUGCCAUUGAUACUGGAAUACGUGAGUAUAGUUGAGGUAGGCGGAAUAUGUAAUGUAGCGGUGAAAUGCAUAGAUAUUACAUAGAACACCGAUUGCGAAGGCAGCUUACUAAACUAUUACUGACGCUGAUGCACGAAAGCGUGGGGAGCGAACAGGAUUAGAAACCCCUGUAGUCC
rnacentral:rRNA from 1 species